rnacentral:lncRNA from 1 species
GGGGGCGGGUCUGGUUGGUUGAUAUUGUUGUUCUUCCUUAGGGGUUGUAAAUCCCUUCGGCUCCUUCAGUCCCUUCUCUAACUCAAAACAUUUUUCAAUGGGGAGUAUUAAAUGAAAGAAUCUUUCCUGGGUGUGAUCAGUGAGGGCAAUUAACAAUGAUAAAGUAGGUCACUGACAAUAAAUUUUGACCUCCUUAUAAUUAAACCAACAAUGUUGCCUAAUAAAGGAUAUCACCCCAAAAUCAUUUGCUCUUCAAGAAGCUAGGCUCCAGAGAUUUAAAUGUUUCAGAGACAAAAAUCACCAUGGACUGGUGGUUUUGUGAUUCAGUGAAAAGAUGAUUCAUGCAAGACCUUGAGAAACGGCAGCACAAACCAUGAUAGCAAGCAAGCACUUGUCUGAGAUAGCCUGAGAUUCCAUUCCCAGGUCAGAGUAUAUAUAGAAAAUGCCUAAGGUUAACUCUUAGAUCACACAUUUGAUACUACACAGUAAAUGUAUCUCUGUGUCAGUAUUAGAGUAAUGCAAAGGGCUAAGAGGCCAGGGUGGUCAAGGAGUGUCAAGAAGGACUGGGAAGUCAAAGCUUGGGAUCUGAUAGGAAUGUAAGAGCCCCUAAACUGAUACAAUAACAAACCAAAAAAAGGUAGGAAAGCCUGAGAAGCAACGCUGGCUGUGAGUGGGAAGACUGUAAAUCACGGCUUGUGGGUGAGGUUUCAGAAUGGAGUCCAGCUGCAGAGAAAAAAAAUGGUACUACUACAACUAGAUGAAAAACGGGUUAGAUGGAUGGAUGGCAGAUUCAGACAGGUAAACAAGUAGAUGGACUGAUAUUCAAAUAGGCCAAGGGACGAAGCCUACCUGAAAACUACAAAACAGUCAGGAAUACCCUGGCUGGUGGUCUUCGACACAAACUCUUGGUGAAAACCAUUGUAACUUCAGGACUUGGUCUCCACUUCUUCAUGGGAAUCCAGGUAAGGGAGAUGAUAUCUCCCUUUCCUUGGCUUGUUGGGUCCAAUAAUUUUCUUUUGCAUGUUAGCUCAUAGACAUUUGAAACUGUUUCUUGCAUAGGACCAGGUGCUGAUGCAUCGAAGGAAAGUAGCUAGGCUCUCUGUAAACUGGGUCUUUCCUUCUAUUAGCAAAAGAGCUCAGAAGCCCCUGCUUUGUUUCCUAGGUUACCUAGCAUGGCAGGAAACCAGUUCAGCCUCUGAUCCCAGGGGGCCCAAGGCAGUUUGAAUAGUAACUCUUACUUCUCACCUGUCUGUCAUUUGCAGUUUCUAACAGAAACUUAGAGACCUUUGCUCAUUAGCAUCUUGUUUGUUUGUUUGUUUUUGGAUUUUGUUUGUUUGUUUGGGUUUUUUGGUUUUUUGUUUGUUUGUUUGGUUUGGUUUUGGUUUUUCGAGACAGGGUUUCUCUGUGUAGACCUGGCUGUCCUGGAACUCACUCUGUAGACCAGGCUGGCCUCAAACUCAGAGAUUUGCCUGCCUCUGCCUCCCAAGUGCUGCAGUUAAAGGUGUGCACCACCACUGCCUGGCUCAUUAGCAACUUAAAAACAAGAUAUUUCCUUGCUCUCAUGGGCUACUGUUGCUGUCAAGAUCUAAAACUUAGAGCCUGUCUGAGUCAUACACAGUGUUAUUAAAAGAGACUUACCUAAUACCUGCCUUUGAGUUACUCUGUGGAACUUUGACCAAGGAAAAGAAUCUCUAAGUUUUAUCCAAGAUUGCUUGGUUCUCUGGGUAUGAUAUUAAUAUACCUAUGUGCUCCUUCAGUCUAAAUGCAAGGCCAUCCUCUAAAGGACUCCAUACUACUGUUUAUGAAGUAUGGAGUCCUUUAGAGCAUGACCUUGCCUAAUCUUGACAAAAUAAAUAUAAUAAAGAUAGAAAUAUAGGAGCCUCAUUGUCUCCCCACAGGUACAGUGGGUCCCAAGACCAAGUAUUCUGUAACCACAAUAAACUAGAAUCUUUGGAAAGCAAUUCACUGUGACACUUAGUGGAAAUUUCCACCUGUGACUCUUCUCCCCCUCUUUUGUAACUUCACUGGAAGUGGUAUAAAGUAUGGGUCUACUUCUCCUUCAAAAAUUAUAGUGAAAAUAACUGUGAAUGAGAUCUCUAAAAAUCAUUCUGCUUUGUUUUAAAGCUCCAGACUCUCCCCUUUAUGUUUCUGUCUGACACCUAGUAUGCACACCAUUUGAGGGAAAAUGACUGCACUUAGUUGUAACAGUUGUUUUUCAGAUGAGCAGCUCACAGUCAGUUUUUCUCUGGAUUUUUCAGUAUAGAAAAUCACAGCUGUGGUUUUCUAUACUGGCCUCUGUGUGCUGCCAAAAGAGGUUUCUUUGUUAAGAGGUAAGAACUAUACUUAUUUAUGGGCCUAAGAAUAAGUAUUUAUAAUGCAUGUUGAAAAUACAUUGGUUUAGGAAAGUUGAAGUAUUAGGUUUUCCUCUAGCCUCUGUACCUUCAGCAGCCAUGGGUAGCUAGUAGACACAGCUGUAAACUAGCUUUCCAGUGCCUCUGCAUACUUCAGUUUAGGGGUUCCAGGUAAAAUGUGUUUCUGGAUAUUGGGAAGUGGCAGUAUGGAAUCCGGAGGGGCUGGAGAAAGGCUGAAAGGAUACAAGAAGGUAGGAAAUAAGGGUGUUUCACCAUGUUUCCCUUAUUUCCCUGGGAAUAAGGGCAGAGAAUGAGGAGAAUCCACAGAAGAAGGUCUGCUGCAGACCUGGAGAUAAGACUGAGGGGACUGGAUUCGAAAGAACAGCAGUAGACAGAAUGAUCUUCAAGUGUUCUGUUUCCUUGGCUGAAGUGGCCUGUGUUUUCCCUGGAAUGCCUGCUGAAACUGGAGGGUUUCUGGAAUAAAGAAAUGAAUGCUGUGAAGAAAGACAGGAGGGGAAGAUCUAUGUGAUGUAAUGGAUAUGGGGAACAGGUAAAGGUGGUCACAGCUAGUCCUCUGAGGCAAAGCUGGGGAUGUGACUAGGGAUUAGAUUUGAAGGAGGCAAGGAAAAGUAAUCUGCAAUUAGUUAGCUUACCUGUUUCCAUCACUGGUCAUCAGAAUGGUCCUGACAUUAUGUACUUAAAAAGCUAAAAUGUAAACUGUUUUCAGUACAGACUGCUAUUGUUUAUCUCAUGAUACAAAGGUAUCAAAUAAAAACAGCUAACAGGUUGCCCCUGCAUGGAAAGGCAGAAUAAAAGAUCCUCUGUCUAAAAAUCUCUCAAUUAUAACAGCAACACAGUUUCAACAGGACUCUCUCUGCUACAUUCUGUUUGACAAUGGGAACAGGAACAAAAUUGAAUUUAAUUAAAAAAAAACCACCUCUACAUAAAUUUAAGUUAUAAAGUCUGUCUUAUGUUCUCUAAAAGUUUACUGGAAAACUCCAAGACCUACCUAAUGGUUUAACAAUAUGUACAUAUGCAAUAUUAACUUAUUGUUUCACUCUCUAUGUGUCAUGUCAUAUGGAUUCAAUGUUUUUAUUAAUGCAAGGUUACACAAUAUCUUCUAAGCAGAACAACGGCCAUCUUCAGAUCUCCCACUUCUUCUGCCUAAAAUAAUUACAGCCAAACUUGUUAAAUGUUAAUAUUCCUUUAAACAAAGAGGAGAUAGACAAUGCCAUUGGUAGACUUUCACCAGAGUAUCCAUUCAUUCCUUCCAGUUGGUUGUAUGUGGUUUUGCUCUAGUUCUGUGAGACUUCAAUGUUUUCUGGGUGUAUGAGAUAAAUUCUAAAACUAGGGAGAUGGUCCACAUAUGCAGCAAUUAAAAAAUAGUGUAUGUACUGAAUAAAGGUCCUAAAUAUUGUUUAGUACCCCAACUUAGAAAAAUUUUUUUCAAACAAAUGAGUUUAUUUGUUACUUACUCUUAUGUCCAAUGGUAUUUUUUUAAAUCAAGAUAAAUGUAUGUAUAAAACUUAAAAUGACUCAUAAAUAUAAUUAUAGGUAUCUGGCUCUCUGAAAACUAGUCCAACCUUCUUGAUUCUUAAAACCUAUCACAAAAAAAGAAGUGGUAGUUGUUUUAAAAAAAAAUCCAUAUACAGGUAAUCUUAAUUUACUGCAGAAUGCCAUGUAUAAACUCCUAAGCUUAUAAUGGUCUAGUAAUGUUUUUAAAAAUCUGACUUAAAUAUCUAUGUUAACUUUAUUAAGAUUUAAUUAUUUGGAGAAAGUAAGUCAUAUAAAACUGUGACUUUUGUAAAAGCACACUAUCAAAUAACUUUAAAAUGAGAUUCCCAGCCUCUCCAUGGAUGAAUUUUAUUUGAUACCUAAAGAACUUUAAUUCAAAACCAUAAUUUAAAAAGACUCAAAAUUAACAGAUAAAAUUGCAAAAUCCUAAUCUUAGAAAAGUUAUUAUUAUAAACUGCUAAAGAUAAUCAAGACAUUCAAGUUAAUGAUCAAUCACAUUAUACAUGAUCAAAGUCUUUAAUGUGCUCAGAACUAUGUUUGUGGUCAUGCUAAGUACAAAUGUAAUUCAUUUACAGAGACAAGGUUGGAGAGAGAGACCAAUUUAUAUCUUACAUAAUAUAAUCUUUGCCAUAUCUUGUAAAAUUUAAGCCUGAAGCAAGUAACUCAAAACAAGUUUGAAGUUUAAUUAAAGUUUGUUUAAUACAAAAUAACAUUCAAAAUCAGGUAUACCAAAAGUAGAGGCUGUAAAAAGUGAAAUGAUUGCGUAAAGUGGGUUAAAUUUAUAAUACACUUGCACAGCAAGGAAACUCCAGGUGCAAGAAGUUCCCUUGGAUGGAAUGGAAUCCUUCCAGAGUAAGUGGCAUGCUAGCCUCAUUACAGAAUAAGAAUUCAUGGGGAAAUAACACUCCAACCACUCACCAAGAUGUCUGCUACUCCAAUCUCUGGCUCCAAAGGUGUGAGCAGUUCUGGAUAUAUAAGCCAAACUAGAAAAGAAACUCCUCUGUAUCUAUAGAAAAGUUGAAUUAGUCCUUAUAUCUCACAUGAUUGGAGAUGGAUUCUCUUUCCCAAGGGAGGAAGUUAGUCUACAUACACAUCUUAAAUGUGUCAAAAAACAGAGAUUUGGGGGUGGUACAUAAAGGAGUAAAGAUUAAUAAGCAUGUUACUGAGAGGAGACAAGGGAGGGGGACUGGAAUGUAAAGUGAGUAAAUAAAUAAAUAUAUAAAUAAGAAGCCCCCAUCAUUAAAAUAAAGAAAAAGUUAAUUCCAUGGUCUAUACCUUAACCAUCCAUGUUCCAGGAUUAAAGGAGACUUCUCAACAUUGUGUUAUCAUAUGUAUAGUUUCUCGUAUUUAUUCGGAUUAUCCACAUGGUGUCUUUAAAAAGUUUGCUAGACUAUCGUUUAAAAUGGUGCAAUAAGAUUUUAUUUCACUUUUAAAUUGCCAACUAAACACUGAAUUAAAUUGCCUUCUCUUACAAAGCUUUCACCUGCUUGUUCCUUAUGCAGCUGUCUCAUGUAACAAACUUAUAAAUACACUUACUGUAAGCUUCUACACAACUCUGGUACAUGGUUUAGCCAGUUGUAAAACUGUAUUUAACCUUACAACUCAAAACAUUUUCUGUUUAUGCUCUUGACAAAGUUGUACAGUAGUUACCUCCUGGCUAUUGUUCUGGAUCUUUACCUUUUUAAAAAUUUAUGGUGCCCCUUUAGAUGGACCCUCCUCUGAGGCACUAUAACUGCUGCCCUUUUUACGUUGUUUCUUUUUCCAGUUCAAACAAACAUCUGUAUACUGAACCCCUAAAAGAAGUUUGUAUGACCUCUGAAGUGAGGAUCUGACUCUGUCCUACUCCUGCCUCUUUCUGCCACUCCAGACAUUGUUUUCAGGACUUAGAAUUAAAACAACCAGACUGAAGGCUUUUCUACAUCAAUUAACCCCUAUACUUGAUCAAUUCUUAAAAACCUUUAGAGAAAUUUCAGGCCAGCUUAACAUCUUUUUAGAACCAACUCAUUUCUUUGGCUGCCUAAGUUCUUUACUUAGAUCUUAUUACUAGAACUUGUAACUGCCAAGAAUGGGAUCUUUGUCCUCCUCCUAGAAAGAUUCUAUUUCCACAUCAAUGAAUUCUAACUCAUUUGAGAUGGGGCCCAAAGAUGAGGGAAUUAGACACAUAAUUGAACGACAAGCCACCUUCUAUGAAUGAACUUUUAGUUACCUCCUACUCUGGCCCUUCCCCUGAUCACUCCUUUCCUCCUCUUUAUUCUCAUACAUUUUUAUCCUCUUUCCCCCUUGAACUUCCCCACAUACCCAAAGACUAUUUGUAAGUCCCUCUGUCCCCAAAUGGCUCUUACCCUACAAAAGUUAGCAGUGCAACAGCUAAAGAGCUUCACCAGGUACAUUGCACCCAACUGAUCAGACAAGAAAGACCUGACCUUGGUACAACAAAGCAUAACCUUUUUACAAAAAGCAAGUAGAUUUCCCAUGUGCAGGGCUAUCACACACACACACACACACACACACACACACACACACACACACCUUAUGGAAAGGUUGAGGACCCUCACUAUUUCAAUAGUAUGGUCUCAGUUUGCUGAGAUCCAGAGAACCAGUUUGAUUCUCUGCCUCAGUUUUCUUACAUGCAGGGUCCUCAGAGGCUAGAAGAGGGCAUUGUACCCCCUGAGACUGUACUUAUAGACAGUUGUGAGGUGCAGCAUGGAUUCUGGAACUGAAUCUAAGCCCUCUGCAAAAGCAGCCAGUUCUCUUAUUUGAAGAACAAUCUCUCCAGCCCCAGAGUUCUAGGUCUUAACUGGACCACUCAUGUCAAAGAGAGCAGAAGACAAAGAAAAAGUGAGAAAGCGAGAGAGCGAGAGCGAGAAAGAGAGAGUCAGUGACAGACAAAAAGAGACAGAGAGACAGGGACAGAAAGACAGAGACAGAGAGAGAUGGGAGAGGGAGGGAGCAAGGGCUGGGCCCUGGGGAGAGAUGUGGAAGGCUUCAGGAGUGAAAUGCAUUGAUAAUGUACUUUAUCCUGGUCUAUCUAGCUGAGCAGACAGCUGCCAUUGUCCAUGACAGGCUAUAACUUUGCAUUCAUCCAGCUGUUUUCUUAUCCUUCAUAUACUUGUAGAUAACCACAUAAUCAUGCCAUAUAAGAUAAGUAAGACCAGAAAACUUUAUGGUUGGCCAAUUUGGACUUUGGUGGAAUUAAAAAUGCUCACAAAAUGAACUUUGGUCUAUUGUCAGUUUCCUAUCUAUGGUCCAUUUCUUGGGAGAAAAAGCACAGCAGCUAUGAUAAACGGUGAUGCAAUAAGCAUUUAUUUCAUGCUAUUUUAUAGCCAUUCUAAUUGCAUUUCAACUUUCAUCCCUUUGGGAGAACACUCAGGAAUGUUGUAGCUUUAUUGUAUAAAAGUUUUGUUUUUCAUUUUUCAAGUAUCUUCUAAUAUGACAUCUAUAACUGAUGGACUAAUUUAUAUUUCUCCAAAAGUGUUAAAAAGCUCUAUAAAGAUGUUGGCAGAAAUUAACAUAUUUUAAAGAGGCACAUGCAUUAACCUCUACCCUCACCACCCCCCCCAUUGAUUAUUAAAUUAUUAGAACAAUGGUUUAUAAAGGAAUUGGAGUUUCGCCUGGAAUCUCUUUCUGAUUGAAGAAGAAUUCUGAAUCCUUAUGCCAGACAAAAGAACAAUUUGUCAUUCAGAAAGAUAUUUCACAGUUCUGACAACUUGUCACAAAACCUUACUGAAAAGACUGGAGCUGAGACAAUGAUCACCAUUGUGACAGGUAUGACCCUUGAUCCUGUUUAUGUACUAUAUUGGACUUACUUAUCUGCAAAUUUUGAAUCAUUAUUGUAUGCCUGGAGUGAAGUCAACUUGAUCAUGGUGAAUGAUUUUUUUUAAUGUGCUGUUGACUUUGUUUUGUAAGCAUUGUGUUGUUUAAUGCCUAUGUUCAUCAGAGUAUUUGUCAUAUUUCUCUAUUUAUGUUUAUUGUUUCGUCCUUGCCUGAUUUUGAUAUAAGGAUAAUAUUUGCCCAGAAACAUUGAGAAUGAGAGCCUUGGCCUUUAUUCUAUUUCGUGGAAUGGCUUGAGGAUUGUUGGAUGUGAGGGACUCCAUCCAGUUCUGUUUUUUCCUUUACUAGGAAAUAUUUCAUUAUCUAAAUCUCGGUAAUUCUUAUUGCUCUGUUCAUACUUUAUACAUUCCUAUUCAAUUGUAUAUAAAAGUUUAGGAAUUUAUUCAUUUCUUCUAGAUUUUCAAUUUAUUGAAGGAUGAGUUUUUAAAAUAAACCUGAACAAUUCUCUCAGAAGUAUCUUUUAAAAUUAUGAUUUCUCUCUGGCUGAAGUUGUUGCUUGGUUUUCAUAAACAUUGAGCUGUAUCCUCAGCUUAUUUAUCUUAUAUUUUAAAAAAAUCAAGCCCUUAAAGAAAUAUUGGCCUGUCUUAGAUAUAACUUGCUUCUUCUUUUUAGUAAUAGAAUGAAUCUUAGUUUCUGAAGAAAAAAUUGCAUUAGUAGAUUUCCCUCCUUGCAUGCUGCUUUGAACACGCUAUUCCUUUGUUUUGUGGUUUCAUGUUCAUUGGUCUCUUUCUGACCAAUGGCUGAUGGACAUUCAUCUUAUGUAUAUAGCCAGGAAUGGUCUUCUGUACUGUGAUUCUAAGAUGUUUUCAUAAAUAUUAGCAAUUUGGGAUAUCAUG